rnacentral:rRNA from 1 species
UUGGGAAUCUUGGACAAUGGGGGAAACCCUGAUCCAGCCAUGCCGCGUGAGUGAUGAAGGCCUUCGGGUUGUAAAACUCUUUCGCGCACGACGAUAAUGACGGUAGUGCGAGAAGGAGCUCCGGCUAACUUCGUGCCAGCAGCCGCGGUAAUACGAAGGGGGCUAGCGUUGUUCGGAAUUACUGGGCGUAAAGCGCGCGCAGGCGGUCUUCCAAGUCAGUGGUGAAAGCCCGGAGCUCAACUCCGGAACUGCCAUUGAAACUGUUAGACUUGAGUAUGAGAGAGGUGAGUGGAAUUCCCAGUGUAGAGGUGAAAUUCGUAGAUAUUGGGAAGAACACCGGUGGCGAAGGCGGCUCACUGGCUCAUUACUGACGCUCAGGCGCGACAGCGUGGGGAUCAAACAG